AGUGAACGCUGGCGGUAGGCCUAACACAUGCAAGUCGAACGGCAGUACAGUAAGAGCUUGCUCUUACGGGUGGCGAGUGGCGGACGGGUGAGGAAUACAUCGGAAUCUACUUUUUCGUGGGGGAUAACGUAGGGAAACUUACGCUAAUACCGCAUACGACCUACGGGUGAAAGCAGGGGAUCUUCGGACCUUGCGCGAUUGAAUGAGCCGAUGUCGGAUUAGCUAGUUGGCGGGGUAAAGGCCCACCAAGGCGACGAUCCGUAGCUGGUCUGAGAGGAUGAACGCCAAAACGGGAAAGGAGACAGGGCCCAGACCCCGAGGGGAGGCAGCGGUGGGGAAUUUUGGACAAUGGGGGAAACCCGAAUCCAGCCAUACCGGGUGGGUGAAGAAGGCCUUCGGGUUGUAAAGCCCUUUUGUUGGGAAAAAAAAGCAGCAGGUUAAUACCCCGCUGUUUUGACGGUACCCAAAAAAUAAGCCCCGGUAAACUUCGU
rnacentral:rRNA from 1 species